GGGCACUUAGCACAGGGGUAGCGCGUUCGCUUCGCAGGAAAUACAGUUUCUGGGUCAUGCGAGAGGUCGUGGGUUCAAAUCCCACAGUGUCCA